CAACCUGGUUGAUCCUGCCAGUAGUCAUAUGCUUGUCUCAAAGACUAAGCCAUGCAUGUCUAAGUAUAAACACUUUUAUACACGUGAAACUGCGAAUGGCUCAUUAAAACAGUUAUAGUUCCUUUGAGAACACUACUACUUGGAUAACCGUAGUAAUUCUAGAGCUAAUACAUGCCUAAACGCCCGACUAACAGAAGGGUGGUAUUUAUUGGAUAAAAAACCAUCGUGCUCUUUCCGGAGCGCCUUGAGAUGAUUCACAAUAACUUGUCGGAUCGCAUGGCCUCGUGCUGGCGACUCCUCAUUCAAAUUUCUGCCCUAUCAACUUUCGAUGGUAGAGUAUUGGUCUACCAUGGUGUCGACGGGUGACGGGGAAUUAGGGUUCGAUUCCGGAGAGGGAGCCUGAGAAACGGCUACCACAUCCAAGGAAGGCAGCAGGCGCGCAAAUUACCCAAUCCCGAUUCGGGGAGGUAGUGACAAAAAAUAACAAUAGGGGGCCCUUUGGGUCCUCUAAUUGGAAUGAGAACAAUUUAAACCCCUUAUCGAGGAUCCAUUGGAGGGCAAGUCUGGUGAACGCGUCUAGGUACGGCAUGGGUUUUUCUCCCCUUUUGCUACACCACCACCGCCCUCGUUAAACAAAAAAUCACGCCAGAUGUCGGCACGACCACAAGUAGGGGGGGCUCUGCUGCCCCGCGUGUGCGUGCACGGCAAAAGAUAGGGUAUUGAGUUCCUAUCAUACACUUCGAAAUUGACGGGAAAGACCUUGUGUGAGUGGCAUGCGGAAGGUGCCUUGCUCAGAAAGCACACUCUUUGGCUACCGCGGUCCGCCGAGAGGUGAGAACGAGCAAUCGUUCAGGACGCAGCAGUGCAUGUAACGGUGUACGGAUGGUAAAAACGCCAAAGAAGGGAAAGGGUUAAUCCGCAGGGAAGCGUGAUUGGCAGAUCUUCUCGUAGAUGCCAAAGACGAACCUUCAGAGACUGUAAUGAAGUGGGCGCAAGCUUAAGGGACAGUCCAAUCCACUGGGAGACCAGGUCCACAGGAGUAUCGGGACAGAACUCAACCCGUAGGACUGUGGAGGGCGUAGCAAAGCGUUCGCACUUGUGCGAACGCCUCACGUCGGGUAUCAAUGGCCAGCAGCCGCGGUAAUUCCAGCUCCAAUAGCGUAUAUUAAAGUUGUUGCAGUUAAAACGCUCGUAGUCGGACUUCGGAGCACUCGCACGGGCCGGGCUUCCAGUCUAUGUGCCAGUGGGGGUUUGUCUCCUUUUGUCGGGACGCGGUGUGUGGGAACUUCACUGUUUCCGCGCGUUUACCUGCGGGCCGGCCGUUUACUGUGAAGAAAGUAAAGUGUUCAAAGCAGGCCAAUGCCUUGAAUAUGUGAGCAUGGAAUAAUAGAAUAGGACUUGGGCUCUAUUUUGUUGGUUUCCAGUGACCAAGUAAUGAUUAAUAGGGACGGUUGGGGGCAUUCGUAUUUCAUUGUCAGAGGUGAAAUUCUUGGAUUGAUGGAAGACGUACAACUGCGAAAGCAUCUGCCAUGGAUGUUUUCAUUGAUCAAGAACGAAAGUUAGGGGAUCGAAGACGAUCAGAUACCGUCGUAGUCUUAACCAUAAACGAUGCCGACUGGGGAUUGGCGGGGGCACUAGUAAAUGACCACGUCAGCACCCUGUGGGAAACCAAAGUCUUUGGGUUCUGGGGGGAGUAUGGUCGCAAGGCUGAAACUUAAAGGAAUUGACGGAAGGGCACCACCAGGAGUGGAGCCUGCGGCUUAAUUUGACUCAACACGGGAAAACUUACCAGGUCCGGACAGAAGUAUGAUUGACAGACUGAAAGCUCUUUCUUGAUUUUUUGGUUGGUGGUGCAUGGCCGUUCUUAGUUGGUGGAGUGAUUUGUCUGGUUAAUUCCGUUAACGAACGAGACCUCGUCCUGCUAAAUAGAUGCGCGCAUGCUAGCACUGUGCUCGAUCUUCUUAGAGGGACUGUGCGCGUCUAGCGUACGGAAGAUUGAGGCAAUAACAGGUCUGUGAUGCCCUUAGAUGUUCUGGGCCGCACGCGCGCUACACUGAUGCAUUCAACGAGUUUCACUUGAUCGUCCUGGAUCGGAAGCCCCGGGUAAUCUUUUGAAAUAGCAUCGUGCUGGGGAUAGAUCAUUGCAAUUAUUGAUCUUGAACGAGGAAUUCCUUGUAGGCGCAGGUCAUCACCCUGCGCCGAAUACGUCCCUGCCCUUUGUACACACCGCCCGUCGCUCCUACCGAUUGAAUGGUCCGAUGAAAUGUCCGGAUUGCGGCUGCUGUGAUGGACUUGUCCAGAGCGGUAGCCAUGAGAAGCUCAUUAAAUCUUAUCAUUUAGAGGAAGGAGAAGUCGUAACAAGGUUUCCGUAUUAUUGUGGAUUGCCUCAAGGAAGGAAGGGGAGAUGUUCUUCGGAGGGUUCAUGGAAACCUUCUUGGUUCUCUGGAGGGAACCGACAACCGGGAACACAAUCCUAACUUUUUUGAGGUCCUUCCGUGGGAAGACGUACACGAAGCCUUUGCGGCCCGAAAGGGUGCACAGACCGCGACUAUAAACUACUGAUUCUGUGGUAAACGCAAGCAGCGGUGGGUGGGUGCUCUCGCUUCUUAUGGGCGGGAAGACAAAACGCACAGCUGCUACUUUCUCAAAUUGCGGGAACACCCUAAAGUCAACAGAUACCGCGGCUCGACGCGAAACGUCGGGUGCCAGCAGUGAGGGUAGCGCCCUCAUGGAUGGUAACAACUCUGUUGAAUAGAGCGGCACUUUCUUUGGUGGCGCGAACAUGGGCAAUCCGCAGCCAAGCUCCCGGCAAGUCGUCUUGUUCGACUGGGAGAAGGUUCACAGACUGUAAGGGAAGGGGUCUUUUUUUCUUGCGAGAAACAGGCUUAAGAGACAGUCGGUCCCCUGCGAAAGCAGAGUCUCAUGAGAGGAAGGCGCUCCUAAAUAGAGUGCCGGAGAGCCAUGAGAGCCCAGUCGCCUCUGGGUGGGGAGUUUUCCUAGACGAAAAACGAAAUAACGUUCCGUAGGUGAACCUGCGGAAGGAUCAUU
rnacentral:precursor_RNA from 1 species